rnacentral:lncRNA from 1 species
AUGCCACUGAGAAGCCUGAAAAUAGCAGCAAAUACAUUUUCCUCAGUUUUUGUGCAGAUUGCUCAGCCACGCCUGUGCACUUUACCUGCAGCAGAAGGUGGAGUUGGCUCCUCUAUCCCAGCAGCAGAGCGCUCGAGCAUGGAGCUUGGCACUGGAGGCAGCAAGCAUGGGCCUGGCACCGCCGCGGGCAUUCUGGCCCUAGGUUCAUGGCUCAGGCGGCACCAACACCUCUGGAAGUCACAGUACUUCCUUUCCGACUCGACAAGUGGGUGUAUCUAUGGAUCUGUAGCUCCAAACCACUACAGAAGAAGUGGAAAGGACCAUCUCAAAUACUACUGACAACACUAUCAAGGUGGCAGGAGAAGAUGCUUGAAUUCAUUACACAAGAACAAAAAGCGCCCAGCACACAGUGGCAAGUGGAACAGACUGCACUGAUGAAACUGAAAUUUUCAUGUAAAUGAAUGCAACUUGUAAACAGGGAAAUGAAAAAUCGUAUUAUGAACUUGAUUGUAGUUAUUGAGAUAUAAUUACCUUUUGAGGAUAUAGUGAUUGUUUGCCUUAUAUUAACUGCAUGAAUUGUUUGCUUAUAUUAAUUGUUUGGGAAAAAAAAGAAACAACUCUUGCAGUACUUAAGGGAUAUAUAUUCUCUUUGUCUAAAGAGAUAACAAAAAUUUUAGCCAUACUUACUUAUGCUUAUCAGUUGAGUGCAUGGGAUCAAAAUAAGCACAUGAAACUGAUGAAAAACGGUGUUGGAUAUGCUCAGAAUUUGCCAAAAUAUGAGGCAAGUUCAUACCCUUUAUGGGGAUUAGCACCACCAGAACAGAGUUAGGAUACAGUAUAUAUUAACAAAUCUACUUUGCAGAUAAAUAUACAGAAUCACAAACAUGGAUUGUAGGGACCCAGCCUAUGAAUGAUACCAUUUGCCUGACAGACAUAGGGACUAGUCAAUUAGCGAAGGCUCCAGUAGGAAAAUACUCGCAGUGUAAAUGAGCAGUACAAAUGACAGAUUAGUAUUUUGGAAAAAACAGGGAUAAAUAUUGGGUGUCAGCUAAAGGGAAAGGACGGUACUGACUAUGUGGAAAUCAAGCUUGGAAGAGAUUAACCCCAUGGUGGACUGGAACCUGUACGCUAGGAAUAGUAAUGCCAAAGGUGAUAGAAACAGAUCAGUUAACUGGGAUAACACAAGACAAAGUACCCUCAAAAGUCAAGAGAGAAGUGCUCAAUCCAUAAACAGGAAGACCUAGUAGAUUUCACUCAUUUGUCAGGUGGUUUAUUCCCCCUUUAGGAGUUGCAGAAUUGGAAAAGGCUAUAGUAAACAUCUCAGCAGUUAUGAAACACCUCGAAAAUGAAACAUUAGAUGCUAUUAUUGCCCUUAAAGAAGAAAUCCAAAGCUUAGCCAGGGUGGUAUUGCAAAAUAGAAUGGCUUUAGGUAUGUUGUUAGCUGCACAAGGAGGCGUUCGUGCAGUAGUAAAUGCCAGUUGUUGUCAAAGUGGUAGAAAAGAAACACACAUAUAUAAGAUAUGGCACCAAACUGAAAUACUACAUAAAGUAAGCCAGGAUGAUGUAAGCUGAAACCAAAAUGACUUCCUGGCUUCCCAAAUUGGAUUGGUUAAAGAAGUUAUUCGUGGGGAUAUUGUACGUAUGUAUAUGCUGUACGUAUCCUUCCUUGUUGCAUGCUCUAAAUAUGAAAGGGCAAGGGUGGUUAGGAUUAGGAUAUAAACAUCAUAAUCCUCAAAAGGAAAAUGAGGGAUUGAUAUAGGUUGGUUUGCUUAGCAAUAGGGAUUAGUACAUUACUUUAAGAACCAAUAUUAUUAGUUCAGCAAAAGGAAUCCAUAAGUGAUAGUUCUAAAACUUUCCAUUUCAGAUUUAGUGGGUGAACAGCCUUGUUUUUCCUCAAUAAUUUUGCACUGGGGACAUAAUAGAAUACUUUUAUCUUCUGCCUCAAUGAUUUUGCCUCACAAGAAGUGCUGGAGUCCCAGUAGAAUACGUUUAUCUUUUGCCUCAAAACGUGCAAGGACGUUUUCCUUGGGUUCCACAUACAUUGUUUUUAAAAAGUGGCUCACCAUGGCCUAAUAAGCAAUGGAAAUCUUACAAACUGGGGAAAAGUGGAUGGGAGAGAGUCAAAGGUUUCAGUGAUGAAGCUGAUGGUGAAAAAAGGAGAAGCAGGUGGGCACACAACCACUCUAAAUACCACUGAGCAUACCCAAAGGGACAUUAGCACAUAUCUAUGAGACCUUGAAAAAGAAUGAAUGUGUAUGCCAAUGUACUGCAUAUGUAUGCCAUAACUGUAUAAAUGUAGAACCUGAACUCUGAGAGGGUGCACUUGCUUGUCAAGUCACCCGGUGCACAUUGUGAGGAAUAAAGGAAUGCCGCUUUCCA